GAGGUAGUGGAUGUUGUGUAUCUUGACUUCAGCAAGGCAUUUGACACUGUGUCCCAGAACAUUCUCAUAGAUAAACUUAGAAAGUGUGGGACAGAUGAGUGGGGAGUGAAGUGGAUUGAGAACUGGCUGACUGUCACCAAGGACUUCACCUGGCAGCCAUGACUUUUCAAGUAUGAUGGACAGUGGUUUGUCAACUACAUCAAGAAGUUCCUUCAGGACCCUGGGAUACAUGUCAGCAGGCUCCAUAGACUUGUAUUUCUUUCCAAGGAGGUCCUCGUCCAGCCAUACUGGCCUCCUGCGUCCUUUGCGUGAUUUAAUGUACUUGAGGAUGGAAAGCUCUUGCAGUCUAAGAAAAGAGCUGCUAGCUAUAGUCAGUUCCUGUGUUCACAUGAACAGUUUCCCAGGGGAAUCUCAUCCACUAAUUUUGGCAUGUUUUAUCCAAGCACCAUGCACCCUGCCUGCUCUACCCCAAUAAAGCAGUGGACUGCAGCUUUGCUCAGUUUAUCUAUCAGCAAUCCUAAACAUCACAAAACAUGAUUUACCAAAAUCACAUAACAAAGCUGGCACUUUUCUAUAGCUAAAUUGUUGUGAAUCCUAACUAUUGUAGUGUGUGCAUUUGAGAGCUCUCCCGUUUUGUUGAAAGGGUAAAAGUUGCACUGUUUUUCUUGUUUCCAUUAUCCCCUGAUGACUAAUAAGAAGCCACACCCAUCCUGUGAAAGAAGACUAAGCUACACUGAUCCAAUGUUUUUGACUGCCAAGUCUGCAUAGCAGCAUCAACUGUAAAGCGUAAGUGCAGAGCAGCUGCCCCUUAAAACAGUCACAGCUGGCUUACUAUCCAACCAGCCAUCUGCUCAGCUAACACAGAUGGCUAAGAACAGAUCAGCUCUGGUGUUUGCUCUCUUCGCUGGCUUCAGGUCAAAAUAAGAUGAUUUUGAUCUUCACAUUAUCAGAGAGAUGACAUCUUUCCGACUGUGGAAGGCUUCUGCAACAAGUAGGAUAAUGUCAUGGUCAGCACGGAGAACAGGCAGAGCAGCUGCAGGAGGCAGAAUGUUCACAGGGGCUACAGCAGCUACUUGGGACUCUCUUCCAGAGGAGACUGAGAUGUCCGCACAGUGCACCACUCUCCUAAGCACAUGCACAGACACAGAAACAAAGAGCUUCAGAGGACCCUCAUGAAAGGAUAAAGAAGUCUUUUUAUGAUUUCUCUUUAUGAAACUGUGAAAUACUCAGAUACCAUAGCAGCAUCUAAGAAGGGAAAGAGAAUUAAAAAUGGAAGAAAUGAAGCUGCGGAAAGAGUGAAAAAAUAGGGCUUGAAGAAGAAUAUGGGCUACUUGAAGUCCCGUGCCUGUCCUCUAAGUCAGCUGGGAUUUAUUCUGCUGAUUGUGUUACAGUGCUUUAUUUUCUGAGGCUUCCAUUCAGAAUAGUCUCUGAGCAAGCUUGAAAUCAAGUUCCAAGUAAGUGAAUAAUCCAGAUGAAGUAGAAAAGAUUGCUUGUGUGCCUAAAGUGCAGCAUGUGUGUCUUGCUGAAUAGAGAUUAAAGUAAUAACAGCAAUUUCUAGAGGUAAAAUAUUUGCCACUCAUAUAUUCAUAUAGUGUUUCACUUACUGGAAACAUCCUGCAACGUGUCAGUUUUACUUCCAGCUUUAUGAAAAGACAGAAACUGAUAAUGACACAGAAAAUGGAUGUAUGCAUGAUAAGCUAUUCAGUGGCAAUAACAAUCAGUGAUAUAAGGUAAAUCUUCAGGAUUCUCAUUCUAAAAUAUCCUUGGUUUUGCUGUGAGGUGGUCACAGACUUAAAGUUGAACUUGCUCAGUUUGCCGAAGAUAAUAUACAAGCCCUACUGAGUUCCAGUAAGGACCAAACAUUCUUGUAGGAAAAAUGAGUUUCUUUUAACAGUCUGGUAGCUAACAGAGCCCUGGUUCUUAAAGAGUUCACUGGAAAUCUGGAUGGACUGUGAUAAAACAGAAUGAAUGAAAAUUUGAAGGGAAAGAAAAGGUCAGGAAAACAGCAAAGAAUCAAGCUUUUGAUUUCUGUUGCAAAUGGGAAGCAUCUGUGAGGUUAUUAUACAUUUUCAUGUGAAUCCUACUCCCUUGUGUUUCACUGUCAUUUCACUGAAAUGGGUAAAGAAACAUAACUUACCAGGAAUUCAUGACUUUGUCUUAUACUUCAAAACUGGAUCCUCAGUGCAGCUGAGUAAAUUUGGGAUGGACUUUCUGAUAAUGGGUUUCCUGAACCUCUGCACAAAGCAGGGUUUUGAGCUGCAGAUUGAGAGUUUGCCAACACUGUACAAAGGAACAUUCUCUCCUGUUCUGUUCAGGUGAAUUUGGGAUCUAGAUUGUUUACUCUCAGCAGCCUCCUUGCUCUGAAUAUCUUCAAAAGUGUCCUUCAGCUUACUCUCAAUUAAUUUUGAUUUUCUUCAGACCACUAUCAGUUUCUGAUCUUGGCUGUAGCAAACCAAACACAAUCUCAAUUCAAAGCAAAAGCAAAACUGGGGGCAAUUGAAAUCACUAGAAAUAACUCUGCAGAAUAUACUCAGCAAAAGCAUCAUUCUCCCUGUACACCCUAGAAAAGCCCACCUGCAAAAGCCAAAAGUGGGAUCUCCCAUUGCAUUUCACUCUUUCAGUCAGGAUGAGAAGAUCUCUGAGAAAAGUCUGACAAAAUCUGCAAUAUAAUCUAGAAGGCAACUGCUUUCUUUUUUAAUUACUAUUUUAAUUUUUUAGUGUUAGCAUUUCUUACACUUCAGCACAUGUCCAUGCCUCCAUGGGAGGUAAGCAUGGAUUCUGGAAAUGUAGAUUUUUUUUCGCAACAGAGGCACUUCAAACAUUUUCUUGGGCUGAACACAUCUCUCAUUCUCUUCUCUGUUUCUGAGAAGCCAGCAUAAGUCCUUCCACUCUCAAGCUAUGCUCAUAAUAUCAAAGCAGAGUGUCAUCGCAACUCAAUGCACUAAGACAGACCAGUAAGUGAACUUCUCUCAUGGCCAAGAAAGAUUUCAUCACCUGUUCUGCACUAAUCACACACAGUAUUCACAUUGGUGUCACUUUAUUUCGCAUCUAAAUAUUCCUGGAAGAAUGUCUGGAAUCUGAAACAGGCAAAGACAGCAAAUUACAGUUUUAAGUCAAAACACACAGAGGCAGAAGCCUAAAGAUGCUUACUCUUUUGUCAUGGAGUUUGUCUGGAUUUGCACCUUAUAACUUCAGUGUCUAGACAGAUAGGACAGUGACUAGAAAGCUAGCGCAAGGAGAUGGAAAAGAAUAUCAUAACAGUGAUUUUUAGCCCAAGUUUCAAGUGACGCAAUAUAGCUGCUGCCUGAAAACAGAUGUAGUGCUACAUUCAGAUUUACAUAUUCUGUGAACACAUUCUAUGAAAACCUUCUGUGAGAUUCUCUGGUCUAAUGAGGUUGCCAUUGUAAGUCACAGUGUGCACUGUGUCCCAGUGUGCUGGGAUCAAGGAGAAGGACAAGUGAGAUUUAUUUGUCCACCCAUUCCCCAGGGUGAUAUUUAAUAACAUGACAACAAGUUGAUGACAUCGAUGUUACUUGAGUAGUAGCACUCUGCCAGCUGACACUGAUCAUUCUUUGUGUUGCUCGAUUCAGGACAUUUCCACUCUGUAUUUUGUUACAAAGCUUGCAGCUCCAGAGAAUAAGCUCCACAUACAAGUUAUUGUGCUUUGGAAUAUUAACUGCACCCACUUGUAUGUUCUCAAAAGCGAGAACUGGUACAGAUAUGAAGCGUUGCUGCCUAUGCUGGUUGGUGUUGUACAUAAGAAUUUUUCUAGGCAAAUCCUGUUCAGUCCAUGGAGACCCUGAAAUAGAUAAAUUGCUGGCUUUCAGUAGCAUUUCUCACUGUAGCCUAAGAAGAAUAGACCAUGUUGUAUGACUUCUCAGUUUUAAGAAUUCACUCUUCAUUAAAAAUACAAAUGUCAGGAGGUCUAAGAUGAUUUUUCAUGAAAACCCUCCCUUUUUGCCCUUGAGAUAAUAUAAAUUGUUUUGCAUAAAAAGUUCUUUGGGAAAUGAAUAGAUACGCUUAAUAUGGUGAGAAGCGUUAUGAUCCUGUGAGAAAUGCAGAGGCAGAAUCUUUUGACUCCAGACUGAGACUAAUUUUGUUUUCAGAUCGGUGACCUAAACAGAAAAGCAGUGAGAAGUAAUAUGCAGUGAGAAGUAAUUCUAUUUUCCAAAGAGGGGACAGUCUGCAUCCCUACUUCUUACCUACAAAUAUCUGUAUGUUGCUAAGGCUAGAGAUAGUAGCCUUCACUUGCUGCUUUGCUCUUACAUCUUCAUUUCAUUCUCUGGUCCUAAUACAGAGCAGCUCCUACACUGUGAGGGUGUUUCACAAGGACUUUCUUCUAACCCUCAAAGUACUUAAAAAAACGUUUGCUCAAGCCAAAUACACCAUCCCUUGAGGUGCUCAAGGCCAGGUUAGAUGGGGCCCUGGGCAGCCUGAUCGAGUGCGUGGCAGCCCUGCCCACAUCAGGGGGUUGGAACUAUAUGGGCUUUAAGAUCCCUUCUAACCUAAGUCAUUCUAUGAUUUAUGAUUUAAAUUUAUUUUAAUCUCAAAGAUUUGGACAUAAGGAAAGCUAGUUCACAUCCAUUUCUAAUGUGGUGGGACAACGGAAAAAUACUGACAGAUAUGCACACAGUAUAAUUUGACUGUUAAACAGUAGGUUUGGCAGAAUCCCAUAGAUAUGCACUUAGGAGGGAGGAUGCACAACUCAAGUGCUCGUUCUGCCUUCAUCUGGGACUGACAAACAAUACUGGAUCAACUGUGAGGAAUUCAUCAGCAGACAGGUACUUGCAUGAUAAACUAGCAAAUGCAACUUCAAAAAAUAUAUGUUAUUUGUUUUGUUUGAACAAGGCUGCCUGCUGAAAAUGACCUUCUGCUUUGCCUGCUUUUCAUUUUAUAGUCAGAAAGCAAGAGCUUCCUUUCUAAGCACUUCUGCCACUAAGUAGUUCACAGAAAGUGGGAUUCAGUGCAGCUAACACUUCAAAGGCUGGAUUGCACCUCUGAAGAGUGCAAAAGAGAAGCUGUGUGUUAUAAAAGCAUGUUGACUCAGUGGACAAGUAGGUACAUUUGGCACUAGAAGAAGCAUACAAGUGCUUGUUGAAGUCAAUUCUGAGUACAGUCUCUUGUCUUUAGCCAAGAUAGGACAUAAAUGAAAAGAUGUAGAAGUCAGUAUUUUCAGGUUGUAGAGGGGCUGCAAAGUGUGCUGACACUAAAUACAGAUCCAGAUGCUUGACCUUCAUAAGGUAGGAUGAGAUGAGGUGUUUUUACAGCUUAUAGAUACAGCUUUUUAGACAUUUCUACUGAAUUUGUAAUGACAAUUUUUGGUACAGCUGAAGACUGUGGUAGAAAUGGGUGGAAACUGUUAGAAAUAGCUGGAAAAGGGAAAUAAGAAAGCAGCCUUCCCAGGCGUGGACUUGUCCCAUCUGAAAGAAAUCUGGAUCUCUUUUUAACUAUCCUACUGGAAAGUAUCCCCACUGAGUACCUGGCCAAUGACAGGCAUAUAUCAUUCUUCAAAAGACUGGGAAAUCAGCUGGACAUGAUUGUUUUAUAAAUGAAAUGCCUAAAUUGAUGCUUUAAUCCAGAGUAUCUCAGGUGAUGGCACUGGCAUUCGGUUCCCGGAUGACUAUAGUCUAAUGGAAACUUUACAAGAGUCACAUGUGUAAUAGCUUCACUUCAUUGAAGACACUGGGCAGAAGUUAGGAGAAAUCCAGAUGUGUUACUCAAUCUAUGCAGAAGUUUAUGAUCAAGAAGAACAAAGUAUGCAUGACUCAAGCAAAAAAAAAUAAUAAAUCUAAUUAUUUUUCCUUUGGUGAUACGUCUUCUAUUCCUACUGUUAAAUUAACAGAGCUGAUCAACAGCUCUGAAGCCACUCCUGUUUUCUAUAGUCUGCUCAUCUGAUACUGAUCCAUCAAACUUAGCUAUUAGUUAUGUUCUAUCCUUUGAUUUCAUGGAACAUAAAUAAAUAAUUUGCUACCAGACUGUCAUAUAUGAAAAGUCAAAAUUAAACACUCAGUAACAAGUCUGGCUUCAGUUUUAACACUGCAAUCCCUAGAUGAGAUCAACAUGUCCGCACUUUCUCCCUGAGAAUGGUUCACAGCUCUUUGCAGUGCAAUGACUAGGUCUGUUUACCUUUGUAUUUAUUUCCUCCUUCAUAUCUCUACCACCGACUGUACAUCAGACUUUACAGUGCAAGUUUAUGAAUGCUUUACUGGCCUUCUUGUCUCAUUGUUUUUGACACUGUGCAGCAAGAAUGAUACACUUCUGUUUCAAUAAAGUGAGCGCUCGCUCUUAGUCAAUAUGCCAACAGAGUCAACUAGGAUAAGAACAGUAAGCCAAAACACCCAGAGACAAUAAAGUUAGAGGUACCUUUAUUAUUACA